rnacentral:lncRNA from 1 species
AUGAGGAGCAGCAGGAAAGGUCGUGGCCUGGUGUUGAGGGGUUCACUGUUUCAUCUCAUUCCUGUGGGUGCCAGAACUUAUCCAAAGGGAAGACUCAGUGUCUCUAGCAAUAGCAGGUCAGAGACAGAAAGUGUCCCAGAGAAGCAGGAAGGAUUGUACACCAUGGACACGGUGUAUGGUUUUAUAGUAGUGCCUCUCUCUCUCUCCCUCCCUCUCUCUCCCUCCCUCCCUCCCUCCCUCCCUCUCUCUCUCUCUCUCUCUACCCCCCCCACCCUCUUUCCCCUAGAUUUCGUGUUCCUGUUAAUGGAAAAUAUCGGUGGUGUAAGUUCCCCUGGAUCUCCUCAUCUUCAUGGAGCCUUGGGAGGAGCCUGAAUCACUGAUGGAAUUGGACUGUGCAUGGAGAUGGUUGAGCAAGAUGAGGGUAAGUGCCGGGGCAUGGCCAGGUCAUACUGGGAGACAAUGAGCAGCACUGAUGCAGACAAAGAUAAAGUCAACAGUUUGUGCUUCAGCAUCAAAAACUCAAACCAAGCCAGGCGCGGUGGCUCACGCCUAGAAUCCCAGCACUUUGGGAGGCUGAGGCGGGUGGAUCACGAGGUCAAGAAAUCAAGACCAUUCUGGUCAACAAGGUGAAUCCCCGUCUCUACUAAAACUACAAAAAUUAGCUGGGCAUGGUGGUGCGCGCCUGUAGUUUCAGCUACUCGGGAGGCUGAGGCAGGAGAAUUGCUUGAACCCAGGAGGCGGAGGUUGCGGUGGGCCGAGAUCGUGCCAUUGCACUCCAGUCUGGGUGACAACAGCGAAACUCUGUCUCAAAAAAAGAAAAAAAAAAUCAAACAAAAAAGGAAUUUGCUUUUAGUAAUAAGUAUUUUUCUAUUUACAUGAGAAUUUAAUCUCAAAUCAUAAAAAUAGUAAGUCCAGGGCAUAAAACCUAAACCAUAGCUCAUAGUUACUCUUUCUUAAUGGAGGUAUCAGUAAAAUCUUCUUCAUAAAACAUACAUUGUGGUUAUAAAAAGGCAAAAGUUGACCAGGUGCAGUGGCUCAUGCCAGCAGUCCCAGCACUUUGGGAGGCCGAGACGGGUGGAUCACGAUGUCAGGAUAUCAAGACCAUCUUGGCCAACAUGCUGAAACCCUGUCUCUGCUAAAAACACAAAACUUAGCCAGGCAUGGUGGCACGUGCCUGUAGUCCCAGCUACUUGGGAGACUGAGGCAGGAGAAUCACUUGAACCCAGGAUGCAGAGGUUGCAGUGAACUGAGAUUGUACCACUGCAUUUCAGCCUGGUGACAGAGUAAGACUGUCUCAAAAAAAGGAAGGAAGAAAAGCAAAAUUCUUAGUGAAAAUCAUAGGUGUACCUUAGAAGAGAGAAUUAAAUAUAGUCAAGGGAAGACCAAGUCUCAUAGUUCUCUUGUAUAUUCCAAAGUUCCAGGGAAAUGCCAGGUAACAGAGGAUAUUUCCCAUGCUGUUAAAGCAAGGUUGCAGACACUAAUGAAUUCUGGGCCCAAUACUCCAGGAGGGCACACCUCUGUCCUGGAAAAUUGUACAGGAAUGAAUACUUUUCCUUUGACUCAUUCUGGUUAUUCAUCCAGGAUCACAGAAACUAAACAAUGGAAAUAUGGCCAAAUUCAUGAUUUGCUAACCCUCUUCUCAGGUUUCUUACCUGACUCUUAGGAUAACAGCAUUACUUUGAAGCAUAUGAUGAAGAUAUGCUGUCCAAAUACGUGCACGGUUUUGAGCAAAAUGCCUGAUACAAAUUGGUCAACAAACAAUUACUGGAUGAUGAUAUGAAUAUUUACUGAAUGACAUGGAUCCUAUGAAUAACUGUGGAAUAAUUGUUGUGAUUGCUUUUAUUAGCAGUGCUCAAAACUCAUCUCUGUGUGACCUUGCAAGUAAGCCACAUAACUGUGAACCUGCAGCUUCAUCAGUUUUAAAAUGAAGGAACGUGACAGAUUUUCAUUCUGCCACAGAAUGUCAGGCCUCCCAGACACCAGAACAUACAUUUACGUAAAGCCUUUGAUAUAUUUCCACGCAGUAUCCCUACAGGUAGUUGGAGGAUGGUGGGGGCUGCAGAGAGGCACGCUUUCCAAUGGGAUUGAGGCAGUCCUUCUUCCUUGACUUUACAUGAAUGCUGGGCAGCCCAGUGUCACACCCAUUGCACCCUCAACUCAGGCAAGCCCAGCAGCCAAACAUAGGAGACUUGGGCUACAGAACAGUCUUCCAAAUCCCAGGCUCAGAAAACCGAGGUGGAGAUGACGGCUGAGAAAGUGAGGGGGUGGUUCAGGGGAUCACUCUUCCCUACUCGUUCCUCUCAUCUCAAAUUCACUUUCCAUUGCACAGCAACACUGAGGACCACCAACCACCCCUGACCAUCACCUUGAUCUUGCCAUGUUUGGUUAGUGGGAUGCACCCACACAUCAGUGGUGUUAGACCAACUCAAAAAUAUCUGUCAAACAGUGUUUUCGUAAGAACCGCUCAUGGCCCUGUUAUUUUCAAUAUAUGGAAAAAAUGAAAUGAAAACAACAAAAUCAUACCAGGUUUCCAAGACUUCCCAAGAUAGAUGGUCACACAUGCUUUCAGGAGAUCUCUAUAGAAAUGGUUUCAAUGAUGCGACACCUUGAAAAGAGCUCUUCUGGGACUAGAAUGACAUCUAUAAGUGACAAGUAUGAGAUGUAGUGUUCACUCACAUUAAAAAACAGAAUUUAAGGCUGUUUUUUAGAGGUAGCUUUGUACAUAGGUACGUCACACUGGUCUUGAUUGUAAUGAAAAGCCUCUACUGCC